AAUUGGAGGGCAAGUCUGGUGCCAGCAGCCGCGGUAAUUCCAGCUCCAAUAGCGUAUAUUAAAGUUGCUGCAGUUAAAAAGCUCGUAGUUGAAUUUCGGGACCAAUAUGUCGGUCGUGCUUCGGUACGUACUGUCAUUAUUGGUUUCUCCCUUCUGAAGAACCUUGAUGUCAUUAAUUUGGUGUCUUGGGGAAUCAGGACUGUUACUUUGAAAAAAUUAGAGUGUUUAAAGCAGGCUCGCGCUUGAAUACAUUAGCAUGGAAUAAUGAAAUAGGACGUUUGAUUCUAUUUUGUUGGUUUCUAGGAUCGACGUAAUGAUUAAUAGGGAUAGUUGGGGGCAUUAGUAUUCAAUUGUCAGAGGUGAAAUUCUUGGAUUUAUUGAAGACUAACUACUGCGAAAGCAUUUGCCAAGGAUGUUUUCAUUAAUCGAGAACGAAAGUUAGGGGAUCGAAGACGAUCAGAUACCGUCGUAGUCUUAACCAUAAACUAUGCCGACUAGGGAUCGGAUGAUGUUAAUUUUUUAAUGACUCAUUCGGCGCCUUACGGGAAACCAAAGUGU
rnacentral:rRNA from 1 species